GACUCAUGUAGACCUCAGAUAGUUCCCGGAAGUUACUGGCGGGCCGUUUAAAUACAUAAUACUGAAAGACAGAACUCCGAUUUUUGUGGGACAGAAGGAGACUGACGGGUGACUACCAAUGACUGUCAAGUGACAGCACAAUGGGUCACUGGGCUAGCAGCAGCAGCAGCAGCAGUUUAUAGACAUAUAUAUUUUAUGUAUCUUUGUCUUUACUAUGUACUUAUUUACUAUAACAAAUUAAUUUUUAAUAAACUCAGAAACAUGACUUGGAUGUCAA